rnacentral:tRNA from 4 species
GGAGAGGUGGCCGAGUGGCUGAAGGCGCGCCCCUGCUAAGGGUGUAACGGGCAACCGUUCGAGGGUUCGAAUCCCUCCCUCUCCGCCA